AUUGAACGCUGGCGGCAUGCUUUACACAUGCAAGUCGAACGGUAACAGGCCGCAAGGUGCUGACGAGUGGCGAACGGGUGAGUAAUGCAUCGGAACGUGCCCAGUCGUGGGGGAUAACUACUCGAAAGAGUAGCUAAUACCGCAUACGAUCUAUGGUUGAAAGCGGGGGACCGUAAGGCCUCGCGCGAUUGGAGCGGCCGAUGUCAGAUUAGGUAGUUGGUAGGGUAAAGGCUCACCAAGCCAACGAUCUGUAGCUGGUCUGAGAGGACAACCAGCCACACUGGGACUGAGACACGGCCCAGACUCCUACGGGAGGCAGCAGUGGGGAAUUUUGGACAAUGGGCGCAAGCCUGAUCCAGCAAUGCCGCGUGCAGGAAGAAGGCCUUCGGGUUGUAAACUGCUUUUGUACGGAACGAAACGGCUCUGGUUAAUACCCGGGGCUAAUGACGGUACCGUAAGAAUAAGCACCGGCUAACUACGUG
rnacentral:rRNA from 1 species